rnacentral:rRNA from 1 species
UACGUAGGGACCAAGCGUUGUCCGGAAUCAUUGGGCGUAAAGAGCGUGUAGGCGGCUUGUUAAGUCUUGCGUGAAAUCUCGGGGCUCAACCCCGAGCGGUCGUGAGAAACUGGCAGGCUAGAGUGCGGGAGAGGAGAGUGGAAUUCCUGGUGUAGCGGUGGAAUGCGCAGAUAUCAGGAGGAACAUCCGUGGCGAAGGCGGCUCUCUGGGACGGUACUGACGCUGAGACGCGAAAGCGUGGGGAGCGAACAGG